UGGAAAUAGCUCCCGCGUAUAGACCGUACCCCAAACCGACACAGGUGGACUAGCAGAGUAUGCUGAGGCGCUUGAGAGAAGUAUGCUGAAGGAACUAGGCAAUUUGCCCUCGUAACUUCGGAAGAAGAGGGCCCAACCUACGCGCAAGCGUUGAUUGGGGGCACAGAGCAGGGGGUAGCGACUGUUUACUAAAAACACAGGACUCUGCGAAAUCCAAAGAUGACGUAUAGGGUCUGACGCCUGCCCGGUGCCGGAAGGUUAAGAGGAGAUGUGAAAGCGUCGAAUCGAAGCCCCGGUAAACGGCGGCCGUAACGAUAACGGUCCUAAGGUAGCGAAAUUCCUUGUCGGGUAAGUUCCGACCUGCACGAAAGGCGUAACGACUCCCCCACUGUCUCCAGCAUAUGCUCAGCGAAGUUGAAUUCCCCGUGAAGAUGCGGGGUACCCGCGGUCAGACGGAAAGACCCCGUGCACCUUUACUGCAGCUUUGCACUGGCAUUAGGGAUGGAUUGCGUAGGAUAGGUGGUAGGCUUUGAAGUCUAGGCUCUGGCUUGGAUGGAGCCACCCUUGAAAUACCACCCUGUUUGUUCCUGAUGUCUAACCGCGAUUCGAAACAGGGUCCGGAACCAUGCAUGGCGGGCAGUUUGACUGGGGCGGUCGCCUCCCAAAGAGUAACGGAGGCGCGCAAUGGUAAGCUCAGGCCGGUCGGAAAUCGGCUGUUGAGUGCAAUGGCACAAGCUUGCCUGACUGCAAGGCUGACAAGCCAAGCAGAGUCGAAAGACGGUCAUAGUGAUCCGGUGGUCCCGCGUGGAAGGGCCAUCGCUCAACGGAUAAAAGGUACGCCGGGGAUAACAGGCUGAUGAUCCCCAAGAGUCCAUAUCGACGGGAUCGUUUGGCACCUCGAUGUCGGCUCAUCACAUCCUGGGGCUGGAGCAGGUCCCAAGGGUAUGGCUGUUCGCCAUUUAAAGUGGUACGUGAGCUGGGUUUAGAACGUCGUGAGACAGUUCGGUCCCUAUCUGUCGUGGGUGUUCGAGACUUGAGAGGAUUUCUUCCUAGUACGAGAGGACCGGAAGGAACGCACCUCUGGUGGAUCGGUUGUCGCGCCAGCGGCACUGCCGAGUAGCUAUGUGCGGAAUAGAUAACCGCUGAAAGCAUCUAAGCGGGAAACUAACCUCAAAACCAGGUCUCGCUGAGAGCCGUGGAAGACUACCACGUUGAUAGGCUGGGCGUGUAAGCGCAGCAAUGCGUUGAGCUUACCAGUCCUAAUCGCCC
rnacentral:rRNA from 1 species